GCAAUACAAGUUUUUAAUUUCAGUAUUUUAAAGUACAGAAAGUGGAAACUAUGAAUAUCAAAUACAAAUUUAAACAAAGCCACUUAUCCUCCCCUAGAAUAAUCAAUGUGAACUACUUAUAGAAACUUACAAAUUUAACGUAAAAUCAAAACAAAAUAAAUACUGUACAUACACUUUCCCUGCCUGCAGGCAAAAGAGGAUGGGAAAUACUGUUAUGAAUUGAAAAAAUGCUCUUAAAGCUGCAGCAUCCCAUUUCCCAGCCAAAUACUUAACACAGUAGUGCGUUUCUGUAAAAGGAAGACACACAUACACCGACCCCUACUGAGCAGACAAGCUAAUAUUUUCAGAGACAGCAGAAGGAAAGACAGAUCAGGCUAUCAGAGUAGAAAAAGGAGAGGAAGAGACAAACGGGCCAGCAAAACGUUACUACAAAACUAGUAAAUAUAGCCAGGAAUGAGCCCCCUCCCCGCCCUCCCCUUCUCUUUUCCCCUCAAAUUUCAUGGUUUUUAGAAAAAGGUUCACCAAAGCAUUGGCAGCAAUAGACAUUUCCCAGCAGAAGUGACGAUACAUAUCAAUAUAAUCUCUUAAAGUGAUCCCUUUCGUUCCCUUCCCACGGCAUGAGACGCAUAUGGCUUAGUUUAUAUUAAAAGUACAAAAAGUCUUUUAUCCAAAGGGAAACGCAUCCUAUGAGAAAGGUGCAUUUCCUUAUCAGUGCUACUUGUAUUUCCCAUCCGCUGCAUGGUUCAUCACUCUCGUGCUCCCGGAGUGUUACUAGGGUGGUUCUUGGUGGGGGGGUUGUUUUUUUUGGAAAAAUGGAUGUUGCAGCUUUUAUUUCCAUUUAAUCACAAAUAGUAAGGCCCUGGGUUCCAUUUAUAUUUCGUCUGUGAAACAGAGUAGCUCUGGGCUCACUCAAUCCCAUAGGUACAAACAGCUUUUAAUGGUCUGGAAGUAUUACGAGAAUGAAAUUCUGAAAAGAUGCUAGAUUUGGGGGUCGUGAGAAGGUGUGGAGGGAGAGCUGGGCACAGGGAGCCUUAACAGGGCAGUAGUUGUAGGUUGGCAGCACUAGGUCACUCUAGCUUCAGCUCUGCUUAGUCUCCACAGCUGCCAGAAAGCAAUCAGCAAGAUUCGUGCCAGCUGCGACUCUGAAGCCCUGCAAAAUUUGCAACGUCUUCAACUUUAUGGCUUUGAGAAUGAAGGUAGCUUAUGGCAUAUAGUAAAGCCUAGGAAAAGCUGAAGCUUCUAAAGGGUGAUGAUGACACUCUACUCUUAUAUCACCACUAAAGGUAGCACAAGCACUUCAACUACCAAAAAAUAAUACCCAGCCCCCUCCAAAUCCCCCACGUGAUCAGAAAGCAACGGUAUUAACUCUCAACAUCUAACCCUUUCAAAAUUGUAUUUAAGAAUGGAUUCAUGAAGAGUAUUAUAGGUUGCAUAGGUAAUCUACCUCAGAGGUCAUUAAAGGCUACCUUGUAGCCAGGGUUCAUUAACAAGUCUAGCAGGAGGAGAAAAGGGAAAGUUGCUGGAAGGGUAAUAGAUAACAGUUUCUGGGUGGUCUUUCCAUUUUCAUCUUUUGGUUUUGGUUUUCUUUUCAUAGUUUUGUUUUCUCCUAGUUGUAGGAAUGUGAGAACUUGAGAGAAUGGGAAAACCCCUGCAAUGUUUCAUUUCCUACUGUUCUGUCUGCCUAUAAAAAGAAAAUUAAGUUUUUAUGUCAAAUCCAAAUCCUUUUCUGACUUCUCAAAAAAGGUUCUCCUUCAAAACGAGUUAUCAUACCAGGCUUAAUUCUCUGAGUUAUUCAGUCACUGCUACCCACUCCUCACAUCUUCUCCACCUUGAGUGAGAUAGCAAGGAAAAAAAAAACAAGCAACAGGGCUUUCUCUCUCCACUACUACAACACAAAGUUCAGUCCAUCUACGAAAAGAUUGGUGCAGUAGUGUUUUCAUCUAGAACACCAUAAAAAUAUCCCUACAAACAUGUACACAAAACAAGUGAGGUCACCACAUCCUCUUCAUAAGCUACCAGGAGAUUUUGUUUUGUUUUGUUUUAAACAUGGCUCAUCGUGGCAAUUAAUUUUAGAAUACUUCUUCUGAGGUGGAAUAUCAGAGUUAAUUUCUGCUGGAAGCACGGAUAUCUGAAGAAAAUGGGAAUGAACCUCUGCC
ensembl:lncRNA